GAUGCGCAGCUUACCAUGCAAGUCGAGCGGUAACAGGGGGUGCUUGCACCCCGCUGACGAGCGGCGGACGGGUGAGUAAUGCAUAGGAAUCUGCCCAGUAGUGGGGGAUAGCCCGGGGAAACCCGGAUUAAUACCGCAUACGCCCUUUGGGGGAAAGCAGGGGAUCUUCGGACCUUGCGCUAUUGGAUGAGCCUAUGUCGGAUUAGCUAGUUGGUGGGGUAAAGGCCUACCAAGGCGACGAUCCGUAGCUGGUCUGAGAGGAUGAUCAGCCACAUCGGGACUGAGACACGGCCCGAACUCCUACGGGAGGCAGCAGUGGGGAAUAUUGGACAAUGGGGGCAACCCUGAUCCAGCCAUGCCGCGUGUGUGAAGAAGGCUUUCGGGUUGUAAAGCACUUUCAGUGAGGAGGAAAACCUUCUGGUUAAUACCCAUGAGGCUUGACGUUACUCACAGAAGAAGCACCGGCUAACUCCGUGCCAGCAGCCGCGGUAAUACGGAGGGUGCAAGCGUUAAUCGGAAUUACUGGGCGUAAAGCGCGCGUAGGUGGUUUGAUAAGCGAGAUGUGAAAGCCCCGGGCUUAACCUGGGAACGGCAUUUCGAACUGUCAGGC
rnacentral:rRNA from 1 species